UACGAAGGGGGCUAGCGUUGUUCGGAAUUACUGGGCGUAAAGCGCGUGUAGGCGGUUCUUUAAGUCAGGGGUGAAAUGCCAGGGCUCAACCUUGGAACUGCCUUUGAUACUGGAGACCUUGAGUCCGGGAGAGGUGAGUGGAAUUGCGAGUGUAGAGGUGAAAUUCGUAGAUAUUCGCAAGAACACCAGUGGCGAAGGCGGCUCACUGGCCCGGAACUGACGCUGAGACGCGAAAGCGUGGGGAGCAAACAGG
rnacentral:rRNA from 1 species